CUUCUCUGACUGCUCUACUCAUCGUCGCCGCCAAGAAGGUUAACAAUUCCGUCUUGGAAUUGCGUGAUUCCGACACAGGUCGCAAGGAGAAGGUAACCAUCUACGAAUGCCUUAUAAGGGAGGCUUUGGCCCUGGGCUGCCGUACAAGGGAGAGCGAAAAUUCAGAGAGAAGGAAGCUGUUGGUUUGCGAGAUAGAGCUGCUUCAGCUCUUCGGAGUUGUAGCUCAGAGCAGCGGUGGUGGGGACAAGAAGGUGACUUCGCCACUUAUCCUUGCAGCUCAGCGAGGAGAUGGAGGUGUUAUCCAGCUGCUUCUGAAGACAAAUAUACAUGUCAACGAUGCUGAUGCAGAUGGAAAUUCUGCUCUUCAUUGGAUACUUGGGUUGUCGAGAUUAUCGUGUCCACUACAGAUAAGAAUUGUAUUGCUUCUCAUUGAGCAUGGCGCCCUAGUAAGCCAAAGGAAUAAAUUGGGGUUGACAGCAUUUCAUAUUGCUGCCGGUAAUGGUAAAGCUGAGGCCCUUGAGGUCCUUCUGUUGGAAGACCCAGACGGAGUGCAGUAUAUGACGGAAAUGAAAGAAACCCCUGUUUUUCGCUGUGAAGAAUGAGAGUGAGGACUGUGCUAAGCUUCUUUUGACCUGGGGAGCAAAUAGUGAAGUCCUUAAUCUACGUACGCAAAGAGCUAUAGACCUGGCAACCUCUCAAGAGAUGCGUUACAUAUUGCAGAAUCCAACCACUAUUAGCCUUAUUAAUCAUGCCUUCCCCUAUCAGCUUAAAUGUAUGGCUUUAGAGUUGGCAGAUGAAGAGACCACUACCAAAAGAAAUGUCAACUCAAGCACCAAGGCAGACGUUUGUAAGUACUUCAACCGUCAUCAAGGAUGUGUCAGAGGAGCAAAGUGCUUUAAUUCACAUUGUGAGGAGUCUCAGAAAGUGGAGGGAGAAGACAGGAAUCAUUCUUCUGCUGAUAAACUACUCAAACGCAAAAUCUUUGUUGGAAGACUUCCUCCUUCAGUGGACUCUGAUGCUUUGAGAAAGCUCUGUGAAGAAGAGUUUGGAUCAGUGGAAGAUGCUGUAGUUAUUGUAACUCAAAUAGAAAACAAGAUACAAUCUCGAGGCUUUGGUCUUGUCACAUACUCACAUUUAGAGGGCAGAAAUCUGCUUCAGAAGCCAUGCUAGCGCGCUACAUCACCUUGAGAGGCAAGAAAGUUGAAAUAAAAAGUUUGAUUCCAAAAAUGGUUUUGGGAGCUGACCUUGGAAAAUGUCACCUCAACCACAAGAUCAAGAGAAGAGUUUUCAAUACCAGCUUCCACUGCAGAAGCCGAACGAGAAUAUUGUGGAAGGUGAUAACCCUGAACAAAGUUCUUGGGCUGAUAGAUUAGUCCUUAAACAACCAGCAGAUUGUUCCAUUGAACCUCAAGCGCAUGUUACCAAGAGCUCUGAGGACCCAAGCACUCCUACAUGGCUAAAGGUUUUCAACAAGUGGUUUCCUGGGUUCUUACAAGGGCUGUCAAAGCAUUCAAAUUAUGCUCUCUCUUCUCUAAAAGCUGACUUCAAGGCUAAAUUUGGGUUAGAACUGGAUCACUCAUCUGUGGGCUACUCUAAGCUCAGAGACUUCCUGAAGCGUGUCUCUGAUUUAUGUACCAUCGAGAUUCUCCCCAUAUGCAAACAUGGAACUCCAACUCACAUGAUCCUCCGUCCAAAAUUUUCUAGUCCUCAAUGCCGCCUCCUUCCUACACUCAGAACAACUCACACUGUCUUUGUCUGCAUUUAUUGUGAAUGGUGGUGAUUCAAAGUGUCUUUUAUCCCUCUUAAGUGGCAAUGGUGGUGAUUUAAAGGAUCUUCAGAACCUUUCAACUGACAGCGGUAGUGAUGAGAAGUGUCUCCAGGACCUUCCAACUGACAAUGCUGUUGAUUCAAAGUGCCUUCAGGACCUUUCACUUGAUUCUGGUGGUGAUUCAGAGUGUGUUGGAGACGAAAUGUAUGGCUCAAGUGUCACUAGCCGUGGGGAACCUCCUCUGGGUAUCCUGAAAUGAACUCUAAACAGGAUAAAGCACACUGUUUGCACCCAAGGUUCCUUCAAUUCUUGAAGCUGGAUCCUCUACUCCAUGGUCAGAAUGAUACUGAUGUGCUUGCUGGAGAGAGUGACAAUGAAAAAGGACAGUGCAAUGCAGGAGAUAAGAAUACAAGCGAAUCAUAUUUCCUUCAUGAAUCUGAUUCUUGCAAGGUUAAAGGCACUACAAACAUUGCAUGGGUUUCAAAAGAGUGUGUAGUCCUUGCCACUGAUUCUCAUGGUACUUGCAAAAAGAGUUUAGUGUCGGAUGAUUGUAAGAAAUUUGAAAUCAUAACGCCCCACAUAGUUUCAACAAUGGCUGGUGACUCACUUGAAGCUGCAUAAACAUGUCGUCACAUGAAGUUUAUGAUCAAUGAUGAGACCAGGAAUGGAACAGGUUUGAAUUGUGUGUGGAAUGUAGGCGUCGUUGGUCAGUCAAUGGAGAGGGAUCCUUAUUGCUGGAUUAUUGCAUUGAAUUUGUUGUUUUUUUGUUAGUUAUUUUUAAUAUACUCUUUUAACUUGAAAUUUUCCAUGUAGGCACCAAAUUGUUGUUUUCUGUACGAUCUCUUUAAAGAGAAGGAAGACCGUGCAUGUGGCUUGGAGGAGGUUCCAAAUUGGAAGGCAGUUGGCAGUGGCUCUUGACACGCUAAAAGUAGCACGCAAU